CCUACGGGCGGCAGCAGUGGGGAAUAUUGCGCAAUGGGGGAAACUCUGACCCAGCAAUGCCGCGUGAAUGAAGAAGGUCUUCGGAUUGUAAACUUCUGUAAUCAGGGAAGAAUAAAAUGACGGUACCUGAAGAAUAAGCUCCGGCUAACUGCGUGCCAGCAGCCGCGGUAAUACGUACGGAGCAAGCGUUUGUCGGAGUGACUGGGCGUAAAGGGUGCGUAGGCGGUUAUACAAGUUAGCAGGGAAAGACCCAGCGCUUAACUUGGGAUCUGCCUCUAAAACUGUAAGACUUGAGUGUGGUAGAGGUUAGUGGAAUUCCUAGUGUAGCGGUGGAAGGCGUAGAUAGUAGGAGGAACACCAGAGGCGAAGGCGGCUAACUGGAACGCAACUGACGCUGAGGAACGAAAGUGUGGGGAGCAAACAGGAUUAGAUACCCUUGUAGUC
rnacentral:rRNA from 1 species